AGUUUCUACGGUCCGUCCUCGGGAGAACUCAGAGAAUAAAUUUGAAGAAAGAGGGAUUAAGCGUUUACUUCUGAUAUUUGCUUAUGCGUAACCUUGAUCAGUUCUUGAGAGUGGUAUACUAGACUAUAGUACUUGUUAUGGGGAUAGAGGAGAAUAAAGAUUUGUUGAAAGGGGUUGAUUGGAAGAAUGUAGGUGGUGAUGUGACUGACGCUAGUUCUGCUGCUACACCAGUUAUUAAGAAGCGGCUUCCAAAGAAAGUUAGACAAGUUCCUGAGUAUUAUUUUCUCCCUCGAAAACCCUUAAAGGUUAUCCUUCCUUUCUAUGGGGCAUGUAUUGCUGCGGGAAUUGGUACUGGGAUGUUGAUUGAAGUCUGGAUUUAACAAGAAAAUUAAAGAGGAUGGAGGGGGUGUACUUUGGAAGAUGGAAUAGUAAACGCCUGAACUUGAAGAUGAUAGGGCUUUUGCUGCGUAGCCUUAUUAGGUACUUAAACUUGAUAUAAUGUGGAUGGAGGAGGUGUACUUUGGGAGCUGGAAUAGUAAAUGUCUGAACUUGAAGAUGUUAGAGCUUUUCCUGGGUAGCCUCAUGUGGUACAUAAACUUUACAUAAUGGUAUGCACUGCCUUGUUUGUUAUGAUUUUGGAGUAUUGUGUGACUGUGUCUACGACGGUACUACCUCAAUUAAAUAGAGGCUAUGGCAUUUAUAUUUCGAAUGUACUAUGUUUUUCAUGUAUGAACUGUUUCCCUUUUGUUUUAUACUUAAUGGUCAUAAUGGUAAGCAAG